rnacentral:rRNA from 1 species
GAUGAACGCUGGCGGCGUGCCUAAUACAUGCAAGUCGAGCGAACAGACGAGGAGCUUGCUCCUCUGACGUUAGCGGCGGACGGGUGAGUAACACGUGGAUAACCUACCUAUAAGACUGGGAUAACUUCGGGAGACCGGAGCUAAUACCGGAUAAUAUGUUCAACUGCCUGGUUCAAUAGUGAUAGACGCUUUUGCUGUCACUUAUAGCUGGAUCCGCGACGCAUUAGCUAGUUGGUAAGGUAACGGCUUACCAAGGCGACGAUGCGUAGCCGACCUGAGAGGGUGAUCGGCCACACUGGAACUGAGACACGGUCCAGACUCCUACGGGAGGCAGCAGUAGGGAAUCUUCCGCAAUGGGCGAAAGCCUGACGGAGCAACGCCGCGUGAGUGAUGAAGGUCUUCGGAUCGUAAAACUCUGUUAUUAGGGAAGAACAAAUGUGUAAGUAACUAUGCACGUCUUGACGGUACCUAAUCAGAAAGCCACGGCUAACUACGUG